rnacentral:rRNA from 1 species
UACGUAGGGGGCGAGCGUUGUCCGGAAUCAUUGGGCGUAAAGCGCGUGUAGGCGGCUCAGUCAGUCUGGUGUGAAACCUUGGGGCUCAACCCCAAGCCUGCACUGGAUACUGCUGAGCUUGAGUCCGGGAGGGGGGAGCGGAAUUCCUAGUGUAGCGGUGGAAUGCGCAGAUAUUAGGAAGAACACCGGUGGCGAAGGCGGCUCUCUGGAACGGUACUGACGCUGAGACGCGAAAGCGUGGGGAGCGAACAGG